rnacentral:rRNA from 1 species
AGAGUUUGAUCCUGGCUCAGAACGAACGUUGGCGGCGUGGAUUAGGCAUGCAAGUCGAACGAAUCCCAGCUGGGUAACUGGCUGGGGGAAGUGGCGAAAGGGGCAGUAAGGCGUGGGUAACCUACCUCGGGGACUGGGAUAGCCUUCCUAACGGAAGGGUAAUACCGGGCGAUCUGGCGAAGGGGCAUCUCUUUGCCAGGAAAUGAGUUUCGCCUCGGGAGGGGCUCACGUGGUAUUAGCUUGUUGGUGAGGUAACGGCUCACCAAGGCCAAGAUGCCUAGCAGGUGUGAGAGCACGACCUGCGCCACUGGCACUGAGACACUGGCCAGACUCCUACGGGAGGCUGCAGCCGAGAAUCUUCGGCAAUGGGCGCAAGCCUGACCGAGCGACGCCGCGUGUGCGAUGAAGGCCUUCGGGUUGUAAAGCACCGUCGAGGGGGAGAAAAGCCCGCAAGGGUUUGAUCGACCCCUGGAGGAAGCACGGGCUAAGUUCGUGCCAGCAGCCGCGGUAAGACGAACCGUGCGAACGUUGUUCGGAUUCACUGGGCUUAAAGGGCGCGUAGGCGGAUUGUCAAGUCGGGGGUGAAAUCUUUCAGCUCAACUGGAAAAGUGCCUCCGAUACUGAUGAUCUCGAGGGAGGUAGGGGCAUGUGGAACUUCCGGUGGAGCGGUGAAAUGCGUAGAUAUCGGAAGGAACGCCGGUGGCGAAAGCGACGUGCUGGACCUCUUCUGACGCUGAGGCGCGAAAGCUAGGGGAGCAAACGGGAUUAGAUACCCCGGUAGUCCUAGCCCUAAACGAUGGGUACUAGGUUGUGGACUUAACAUGGGGUUCACAGCCGAAGCAAAAGUGUUAAGUACCCCGCCUGGGGAGUAUGGUCGCAAGGCUGAAACUCAAAGGAAUUGACGGGGGCUCACACAAGCGGUGGAGCAUGUGGCUUAAUUCGAGGCUACGCGAAGAACCUUAUCCUA